ensembl:lncRNA
GUAAACUAACUUGCAAAAACAAAGAAAGGCAACAACAACAAAAAAUUGCGAUUUCUCAUUCCAAAGGAAAAUUCAGCAGCUACACAAAAAACGCGAGUGGAACAAGAAACUAGGACGAGGGAAAUAAAACACCUUGAUGUUUUCCUUGAAUAUGGAUUUAACUUCGUUGAAGUGGAGGAGCAGAGACUACUACUGUCUCAUAUGUUCAGUGUCUCUGGACAACGAGAGACUGUAGCCAACGAAAUUACAGCGCCAUUUGGAAACCAAGCAUCUGGUUGGCAAAAAAAAAGAUACUUUUAACAGGGGAUGGAUUGUCAGAAGAGCGUGAUAAGGAAUGUGGCCUGCACACCAGCAAGUGUCCCAUCUCAUCUCCAAGCCGUAAUCUAUUGGGGAAUAGCAGGCUGCCAUUGACAUAGUUAGGACAGUGAUAGCAGACAGCGCAGUGUCAGAUACGUCCAAAGAGCAGCUGAUGUCCCGAUUUAGGGAGUCGGAGUUUGGCAUACAGUUGGAUGAGGCAACAGAUGUGGUGAAGGAGGCCUAUUUUUUAUUUAUUUUUGCUGUUGUGAGGCUCAACGCAAUUCAGGAAAGUGUUUUGUUGUGUAAAUCGAUCAAAAAGGGAGGGCAACUGGGCAUGGAGUUAUUUUUAAAUCCUGAAUGAUUUUUUUCCUUGAGAAUGAUUUGAAGUGGGAUGCCUGCGGUGUUAUCGACACAGAUGGAACCCCCGCUAUUACUGGGUUCGCGGGGAGGAUUAAAAGCAACAACAACAACGACGACUCGUUAUGUGCAGUGGGGAUCACUACAUAAUCCACCGGGAAGCACUUGCCACUCUGGGUAAAAGAAGAAGAGCUGAUAUCAGAUAUCUUUGAAAAGCUGAACUCCCUGAAUCUGUCUCUGCAAUUGUCAGAAGCCAAGGGUUUUUUGAAAUGUUCCAUAAAGAUAGCUCUACCUUUCUUGAAAGUGGCAAACAUCACUUGAGAAUGGGCACAAUACCAUUCUCGCUAGUUUAUUUUUUUAAAUUUAUUUUACCUUUAUUUAACUAGGCAAGAACAAAUUCUUAUUUUCAAUGACGGCCUAGGAACAGUGGGUUAACUGCCUGUUCAGGGGCAGAACGACAGAUUUGUACCUUGUCGGCUCGGGGAUUUGAACUUGCAACCUUUCGGUUACUAGUCCAACACUCUAACCACUAGGCUACCCUGCCGUCCCUACACUCUAACCACUAGGCUACCCUGCCGCUAGUGAACGAUGCCAUUGGCGAUAAUGAGUGAUUACUUGACAACCUUGAAGUCCAGUCUGGAAAAAUACUUCCCAGAGAACAGCUCCCAGGAUUCAGAUCACUCACCCCUUUCUGGUGGACAUCGACAUCUCUCAUCUCCACAUGGAAAUCCAGGAUCAGCUGACCUGUGAACUUCAGUUGCAAAGACAGCGAGUUCUGGUUGAAAGCUGACACAGACUAUGCAGCUCUCACAAGAUAUAGUCAAAUCAGAGCUCUCCUGCCAUUCGAAUCAGCCUACCUGUGUGAGCUUGGCUUCUAAUGUUUUUGUCCGUGUUGAUACAGACCAAGUACAGAUCCAGGCUUGAAGUGGAGGACAACCUUGGAGACUUUCUGUAUCCAAAAUAUCUCAAAUCACCAAACUGUCUAAGCCAUUGAACUCUAGUUUUUUAACAUUAUGAUAAUUGUCCCACCAGUAGUAGUAGUAGUAACACAUGAUAUUAACACCAAUGAGAUAUUUUUGAUAUGAGGAUUUUCCGAAUGAGGACAUACAUGCUCAAAUAUGAGGUCAUCAAUCCAUUAAAAAUGAUUUGCUAAAGUGAUAUGAUUAAUCAUUUUGCUCAAAAUGUCAAGAGUGUGCAAAGCUGUCAUCAAGGCAAAGGGUGACUACUUUGAAGAAUCUAAAAUAUAUGUUGAUUUGUUAAAUACUUCUUAGGUUACAACAUGAUUCCAUGUGUGUUAUUUCACAGUUGAUGUCUUCACUAUUAUUCUUCAAUGUAGAAAACCAUUUAAAAAAAACAACCCUUGAAUGAGUAGGUGUGUCCAAACUUUUGACUGGUACUCGCUAACCACAUCAUGAUAUAUAGCCAUCCGAUGCCUGACUGCACAGUCGAUGAUGUGGCGGGAAACCAUUGGUUGAUACAUGUCGUCGGGUAGGAACUCAACCAGUGGGAGAGGUGUACCAUUUCUCCUUCCAUUUCCCCAGGAUGUACCUGGCUUCCUCGUCCUUUUGGUUCAUCCGAGGAUCGUUAUGAUAUUCAUAACAAAUCAAACUGAAUAAAAAGGAGUUGGGUUUCAAAGGGGGAAAAAAAGAGUUUGUAGACCAUACAGCCAAGUGAAUAAACA